GGUAUGAUUGAUGCCAAGGCCGAUGUAAAGCCGUCGCAGAUGGACUUUGACUCGCCGGCAUAGCCGGUGCUUGAAAAUCAAUUUAGCCCUGUCUGACC
rnacentral:snoRNA from 1 species